CCUACGGGUGGCAGCAGUGGGGAAUAUUGCACAAUGGGGGAAACCCUGAUGCAGCGACGCCGCGUGAGUGAAGAAGUAUUUCGGUACGUAAAGCUCUAUCAGCAGGGAAGAAAAUGACGGUACCUGACUAAGAAGCCCCGGCUAACUACGUGCCAGCAGCCGCGGUAAUACGUAGGGGACAAGCGUUAUCCGGAUUUACUGGGUGUAAAGGGAGCGUAGACGGCAGCGCAAGUCUGGAGUGAAAUCCCAUGGCUUAACCAUGGAACUGCUUUGGAAACUGUGCAGCUAGAGUGCAGGAGAGGUAAGCGGAAUUCCUAGUGUAGCGGUGAAAUGCGUAGAUAUUAGGAGGAACACCAGUGGCGAAGGCGGCUUACUGGACUGUAACUGACGUUGAGGCUCGAAAGCGUGGGGAGCAAACAGGAUUAGAUACCCCAGUAGUC
rnacentral:rRNA from 1 species